CACUUAGCACUGUAGCAAUGUCAUUCUGACAUGGCAUGCCGAGAGUGACCUGUAGCAGAAUUCCCAAGUGGAUCUGAGAAUGGAAACUAGAAGUUAUUUUCAGCACCAUCCUUUGGUUAGACCUGCACAAAAUCGGAGAGGCUUCUAUGAUCUCAGAUGAAAGAGAAGAGACAGAAGAGAAGACAGAACAGCUCUUUGCUUCCUCAAGUAAAGUGACACAAGUUAGAAGUGGCAGACCAUUGGUGAGAACAUGAUCUAACCUAACUUCAAGAAAGUCUGGAAAAUACAGAGAUACAUGAAAUGUAUUUUAUAAUGGCUAGAGCUGGAAACACAUCAUGUAUCCAGAAGGAAAAGGGCAAGAAGAUUGCAGGAUCCACAGACCUGGUAUUCCCAAACAGCUGAACCAGUAUCAGUACACCUCUGGAUUUCCCAUUACUUGAGAAAAAUAAACUCUUUCGUUUUAGCCACU
rnacentral:lncRNA from 1 species